UACGUAGGGCGCAAGCGUUAUCCGGAAUCAUUGGGCGUAAAGCGCGUGUAGGCGGUCCGGUAAGUCCGCUGUGAAAGUCGGGGGCUCAACCCUCGGAUGCCGGUGGAUACUGUCGGGCUUGAGUACGGAAGAGGUGAGUGGAAUUCCUGGUGUAGCGGUGAAAUGCGCAGAUAUCAGGAGGAACACCAAUUGCGAAGGCAGCUCGCUGGGACGUUACUGACGCUGAGACGCGAAAGCGUGGGGAGCAAACAGG
rnacentral:rRNA from 1 species